UACGGGGGGGGCAAGCGUUGUUCGGAAUUACUGGGCGUAAAGGGCUCGUAGGCGGCCAACUAAGUCAUACGUGAAAUCCCCCGGCUUAACCGGGGAACUGCGUCUGAUACUGGAUGGCUUGAGUUCGGGAGAGGGAUGCGGAAUUCCAGGUGUAGCGGUGAAAUGCGUAGAUAUCUGGAGGAACACCGGUGGCGAAGGCGGCAUCCUGGACCGGUAUUGACGCUGAGGCGCGAAAGCCAGGGGAGCAAACGGG
rnacentral:rRNA from 1 species